rnacentral:rRNA from 1 species
ACGUAGGUGGCAAGCGUUGUCCGGAAUUACUGGGCGUAAAGGGCGCGUAGGCGGUCUUUUAAGUCAGAUGUGAAAACCCGGGGCUCAACCUCGGACCUGCAUUUGAAACUGGGAGACUCGAGUGUCGGAGAGGAAAGCGGAAUUCCUAGUGUAGCGGUGAAAUGCGUAGAUAUUAGGAGGAACACCAGUGGCGAAGGCGGCUUUCUGGACGAUAACUGACGCUGAGGCGCGAAAGCGUGGGGAGCAAACAG